UUGAACAAUCAAAAGCUGUUUACCCUGUUUAAAACAUUGUUACUAUUAAUCCAACAGAGGAAACAUCCUUUCUAUAUCACUCACAUUAGAUCACAUACAUGCCUCCCAGGCCCACUUACAGAAGGGAAGGCUGUGGCAGAUAAAGCAGCAAAUUCAGCUUUCCCAGUUAACACAGUACCUACACCUAACAGUUUUGAAAAAGCAAAAAUUUCUCAUAACUUUUUCCACCAAAAUUCUACAUCAUUGAAAAAAAUGUUUCAGUUAUCUACCUCUCAAGCCAAAGCCAUUGUGUCUGCGUGUCCAGACUGUCAGUUGGUAACUCCAGUGAGAUCUGAAGGAGUUAAUCCAAGAGGCCUUAGCCCCUUAGAUCUCUGGCAAUCAGAUGUGACACAUGUGCCACGAUUUGGCAGAUUGAAGUAUGUACAUGUAUCAGUGGACACUUGCUCAGGACUCAUUGUUGCCACUGCACAUACAGGAGAAAAAGCUAAAGAUGUUAAAAGAUAUUUUUUCUCAGCAUUUGCCAUAAUGGGCAUUCCAAAACAAAUUAAAACAGAUAAUGCCCCGGCAUACAUUUCUGCUUCCCUUAAAGAAUUUUUCAAUAUGUGGGGAAUAGUUCACACCACUGGCAUUCCUCACUCUCCACAGGGCCAAGCGAUAGUAGAGAGAACUCACAAAUCCUUAAAAGAUAUGCUGAAAAAACAAGAAAAAACAACUGUAGGUCUCUCUCCAUCAGAACGUUUAAACAAGGCAUUGUAUGUGCUCAAUUUUUUAAAUAGGCUGCAUGAGGAUGUUUCACCUGUUGGACAUCAUUUUGGAGCUGGAAAAUUAAAAACGGGGGAAGCUAAGGAGCAGGUCCAAGAUGGAUACCGUCCAGACUAGUGAGGAUCCACCAAGAAGUUUCCCUCCCAGCUCAACCAGCAGCAGAUCCAGCACCAGCAGAUUCAGCACCAGCUACAGGAAGCGAUCCCCCAUCAGCAUCACUUUCGGGAUAAUCCUGGUUUUGUGUGCAGCAUAACACCAGCAAAUCAGAAAGACCUAACGUCAGGAGCCCUUGCCACACCUCCUCCAACAAUUCCAAAUUGGGUAAUGCUCCCUGGUCAAAACGUUUGGCUAAACCUGGCACAAUCACUAAAUACUGACUCUAUCUGUCUCUCUACCUUAGAUCCCUCUCACCCUUUUAAGACCUGUCUGGUAGGAAUCCCCUGGACACCCAGAGAAUGGGGUGAUUUUAGAAAUCAGUAUAUCCCCUGCUGUGAUGACCAUGAUCAGUUUAAAAAUCCGUUCUUAGAUUGUCUCACAAGACCAGCAAAAACUUCACAUGACAGACAGACAUUUAGCUAUCAGUGGCAGAGACCUGAGGAAUUAGAAAUCUUGGGGAGUAUCAUAUCUCCUCUCUGUUUUUGCUUCAUUCACAACAAAUAUGUUGCCCCUCCUGAAUUAAUUAAUAUCACCUCUUAUGGACCUUAUUCCAACUUCAGUUUUUGGUGCAAGGAAGAGGUUCCUUACCAGAUACAUGCUACCCCUGAUUCAGUUAUUCUUCCAAAAGGAGUCUUUUUAAUUUCUGGAAUAUGAUUCCCAGAUUAGCUGCUGGAGGCCCCUGCACAUUUGGAAAAUUAACACUGUACAAUCCAGCUACCCUUAUGAAAUCUUUACCUGUAAGUCCUCCCAAAAAUCGUGCAAAAAGAAACAGUAACCUCCAAACAACCUCACCCUUCCCACGUCAUAGAGUGCGCAGGCAAUUCCAAGGUUUACACCCACCUCUUAACUUCUAUCCAUCACAACCAAAACCACCUUCUCCACCUAAGGCAGUGCAGGUCCCUGUGGCUGCAGCACCCCCACCUCCAGUUGAAGAACAUCCCUUAGCAAAAUUGCAGUCCUUGAGGGAAUUCACAGCAGAAUGCAAUUCUAACGUGCUUUUUUGGUCCGACACCGCAAACAUUCUAAGUGGUCUGCUUCCAGUUGUCAGCUCCACAAGAGCCUUAAUGCUCCUUACCAGAAUGGGAUGUUGGCUUGCAAAAGAAGCUGAUGCCACCAGUGCUGCCCUUGAUGAUCUAUUACAAGAUACCCAAACCAAUAAGAAGGCCUUGUUACAAAAUCGUGCUGCAAUAGAUUUUCUCCUUCUAGUAAAUGGCCAUGGGUAUCAGGAGUUUGAAGGCCUCUGCUGCCUCAACUUCUCUGAUCACUCCCAAUCUAUCCACUCCCAGAUUAAUCAGCUUAAGUCCUUAGUUCAUGAAAUCAAGCAAGUUGAUCCUCUGACCUUUGAUGAUUUUUUCAACUGGCUGCCCUUCAAAGGCCUCUCUUCCACUAUUAAGAAAAUUAUUGUAGUUAUGGUACUAGGACUUUCCGUAGUGUUUCUCUUUACGUGUGUCUUUCCAUGCUUGCUCAGUUGUGCCAGAACCUCUCAAUCAUUAAAAGCAUAUCCAGCAUUAGAAAACAGAAAACGAGGAGCUGUGGCAAUGGAUUUGCCAUAUGCAGGAUGGAAGAAGUCCUGUCAGAGAUGGACUAGUGAAGAAAAAGAAGAAAACAGCUCAAAUGUUAUGGAGACAGAAGUUUUUAAUGUGAUUUAAACAUGUUUCAAAAUGGCUUUUUGUAUUUUCUGCAAGGUUACUGUUUCUUCUUCCCGACACCCCCUGUGAGGGACUUGUCUCCCAUACAGGAGUAUCCUGGGAAAGUGUCCUGAGGUGUUUCUCAUUGGUCCUUGUUAACCCCUUCCUGUUGGCUGUUGACCCCUUACCUGAUUGGUUUUUUCUGUGCCCCUGAACUUGUGAUUGGCCCCCUUUUGACCCUCCUAAAAGCCUUAUAAACCCCUACCCCACAAAUAAACUCUCUCUUUUGUCCA